GGCUGGCUGGCUAAGUCAAUAGAGCAUGUGACUCUUGAUCUCAGGGUUGUGGGUUCAAGCCCUAUGUCGGGUG
rnacentral:tRNA from 1 species